CAUCUCCCCUAUAAAUAAACCCCUCCUCUUCACAUUUUCUACACACCAAAACAUCAGCCAAAAGGCCCUCUCCUCUCCCUCUCCUCUCCCUCUCCAUCGAGCAAAAACAGCCCCAAGAAGAAUUCUCUUCUUGCACUUCAAGAAGCUCCCAUCAAGCCCCUUUCUCUCUCCUUCCUCUCUUCAAUUCCUCUCCAAGAGAAACUCCCUCUUCUUCAAUUCUGCUAAAAAUCUUCAAGAAACAGCCCCUUAACAUCCAUCAAACUCAGCCCCAAAGCCAUCCAAGAACAUCCAAGCCAAACCCGCCGAAAAUCCACCGAGCCUUUGGUUUUCUUACUCCUCCAUCUUCGAUUUCUUGCUCUUGGGUUCUCCAAGCUAUGUAGGAGGCCGGCGGAGAGGAGUUCGAGGAAUCACGAGCCUUGGUGCCUAGAUUAUUUUACUCGUAUUUUCUACGCAACGUUUUAUCGAAAAACUAAUCACAUAGUAUAAUAUUAUUUUGUACUCUGAUUGGAACCCAGUCUAUUAAACGGGGGUAUCUUAAAUAAAGUUUAUUUCCUUCCGCUGUCU